UUCAACUCUAAUCCAAACGCUUAUCUUAACAUUUUAGGAUUGGGUUUAGGGUUAGAUUUUAAGUUUAGGUUAGGGUUAAGGUUAGGUGUAGGGUUAGAUUUUAUGGUUGAUUAAGGGUUAAGGUUAGGGUUAGGUGUAGGGUUAGAUUUUAUGGUUGAUUAAGGGUUAAGGUAAGGGUUAGGUGUAGGGUUAGAUUUUAGGGUUGAUUAAGGGUUAAGGUUAGGGUUAGGUGUAGGGUUUGAUUUUAGGGUUGAUUUAGGGUUAAGGUUAGGGUUAGGUGUAGGGUUAGAUUUUAUGGUUGAUUAGGGGUUAAGGUUAAGGUUAGG